rnacentral:lncRNA from 1 species
UACACAGUAGUGGAGAUAACCAAGAAUGGGGUGGUUUUGCUGAGAGGCAGGGAGGAAAAGAGAAAAGUGCUGAGGUAGAUGACCAACUCACUGUGGGAGUGGAGGACCCAGGAAAUAGGAGGCUUGUUGCAGCUCUGGGAAGGAGUAAAACUUGGGGCUGCCUGUCCCCCAGGACCCCAAAACACAAGCAACACCUCCAUGUGCAAGAUGCUAAUAGGCACGUUUAUUGAGCCUCUCCUGUGUUGAGAAACUCCAGGUGAUAUCUCAUUUCAGUUUAUUCUCAAGCAAUACUUUGAAAUUGAAAUUAUUUCCCCCAUUGAGGAGAUGAAGAACCCAAGGCUCAGAAAGUGCUAAGAUCAUACAGCUAGCAAAACCUGGAGUCAGGAUUUGAACACAGGUCUGCUCUCAAAGCCUCUCUCCACUGCCUCAUGUCUCUCUCUGCUGAUGCUCAUUCUGUGGUAGCUAUUGAACCACAAUGGUGGUUCCAGGAGACAAGUGGCCACUGUCCUCUACAGCUGCAGCAGCAGAUUCCUUUCCUUAUGGCAUCUGCCUUCAACACCCUCCCACCUGGGCCUCUCCAUUCCAUCACAUGAUGCUCAGAUCAUGACCUGCACAGACUCAGCAUGCUCGGUGACUCACCUAUGGCUUGUUUCUCUCCAGAAGUGUACCCCACAUGUUGGAAGCUACUAAAGAGGGCCUGACCACCUGCUUCAUUAGGCCCAUUAGCCUUCUUCUUUUGCAGGAGCCAGAUUUGUCAUGUAUUUAUUCUUGAUGCAUUUUUUUUCCUUUGAUCUUCCAGAACAGCCACUUCAAUUUAGGUUUCUACCUGGACAUGAUAAAAUUCCAAGCAUGUUCUCACCCCCAUCCCAGGUUUCAAGGUGUAUUAGUUUAAAGAAUUCCUCUCCAUCUGAGGAAAUGUUAUUGUCUGAGCAAUACCAGAGUUGGAGGUCCCAGACUCACUGAGGGGUGUUUGCUGGGGCACUGCAGCAUGUCAUGAAUGGAGGAGAUGGGUGCAAUAUGCAUGUCAGCCACAUCUUGCUGCCCUGUUCAUGUAUAGUAUUCAGGAAGCCCCACGAGCACAGAAUCCCAGUGGACCCAUGAAGUGUGGGAGUUCAACAGGACUCAGGGCAAGAACAAAUGCUGGCUCGUUACUGGGAAUUUGGCUGCUAUUUGAGGCCUGGCCCUCUUAAGAGCAACACGGCGCUGGUAAUAGUCCCUGGAAGGUGACUUUCUCAAGCUCAGCCCAAUUAUCCAUUUUUCUUCUGGCCACUAAUCUUUAACUCCAUCCCAUCCACUAAUCCAUUCCCCCAUGAGCAAACAAUGCACAGUUGCAUUCAGGAAUACAGGAGAGUUCUUAGCAUGACUGAGACCAUAUAGCCAUUUACUGGGAAGCUGAAGUUCCUGUCAUGGAUGUCCUAACACCAAGCUCAGUUCUGCAGCAAAGCAAAAGUGUACUCACUGGGCAGACAGAUACUGAUUACAGGACUCUCUCUAGAGACACGGCCAUACCCUGAAUCUAUUUACUGCCCCCUGAACAUACUAGGCACCAGGCACUGUUUAGAGAGAAGCCCCACUGCUGCAAUUGGAAUAGCCCUGGCCUAGCAGGGCCAUUCCUUGUCCCAUUGCAGAUCAUUAUUUUCACUAUACCUCAUAAAAUUAGCAUUUUUAAAUGUUACUAAAUGGUAUUUAUACUUAUUUUUAAU